GUGUGGAGUAAUCACAAGACCUUUCUUUUUUUAAACUGCAGUUGCUGUCUGUGUUGCCACUUCUCUGGCUGGUCACCGCUUCGCUGCACAGAAAAUCUGCCCUCCAGUCCCAUCCCACAUUGGCUACGCUGCCUGUUUGAAGACUUUGGGGCAGAAUUAGGGAUACCCGGUAGCAGCCCCCUGCCCCAGCUAUAUCUGAUAAGGAGCUGGAAUACACCUUCUGGAAACUGGCUGAAAGAUGCGGCAGCAACGACUGCAGAGCUGUCUUCAAAAUGUACUUUACAUGAGUGCAGGAACUCUCCAUCGGGAGCAUAGCGAACAUGGCCAAAGAAAAAGGAGACAAAACUUUCAGACAGUCUUCAGCCCAGGGUUCUUACAAUGUUUUAUAGUCCAGUUCCUGUGAUUAAAAGCAGGAACAUCCCAUUACUUUGUUGGAAACACGAGGUUUAAUACAAGGCCACUGUGUAAUGAAAGCCUGACACUCUCCUUACAAGGGGCAAUAACUGCAGUGGGAUUACGCCUGAAAUAUGCCGGGAGAAUAUGGCAUGGGAGAAUAUGACAUAUGGCAUAUGAAGGCAGACCUUAUAGACGGUUUGUUUGCCAAAUGAUGAUGUCAGCUAAGCUUGAGAACUCUGUGAAAUCCAGCGUGUCAGUGACUCCCUUAUUUCUCCUUUCUAAUCAGCUCUGGUGUGACUCUGUGUGUGCACCUCAGCUUUCAUGAAGUUGUAGAUCUUCAGCAUUCAAGGCCUCUGGAAGACCUUUUUUGUUAAGCUGCUUGUCAAAUGACUACUAAUUUAUCAGAGCAUACUUUGUAGUUUUAUUUGGCCAAAAUUAAAAGCACUGAAAGUGAUGAUCGCUGCAAACAGGACUAUAAAAGCCAAGGAAAAACACAUGAGCCUGUGGUUCUUAAACACUGGGACCUUAAAGAGAAAAAAGCAGAGGGCUGAGCCAAAUAAUUGCUACCGUAAUCCGUCUCUGUUGGUUGGCUGCAGUUUUCAUCAGCAAAAAAAGAGAGCAGCCAGAGGUGCAUGGAGAUUCCGGGGCAAAGUACAAGAUUUCAGCUGGUGCCAUCUCUGUGUGUCCUCCCUGAUGGGGCAGGGAGCAGCUUCCCCAGCUGGCCCUCUGCCCUCCUCUUGGUACCCAGUAACAGCACCCGGGCAAACCCUUCUGUCUAGGGAGGUAAAGCUCCCAUAAGCUAGGUAAGCCUUCAGCAGGGCUUGUGCCGGAAGAGUUUAUUUAGUAUUUGGUUUCUUUCAAAGGGAGCGCUAGGAGAACAUCUUGGUGCUGACUGGGAGUGUCAGAAGUAAAUCUGAAGUGAACCGGUGAUGCUACAAAGGUCUACAACUUGAAUGGAUAUAAUAUAAAUAGGGGAUCAUGAGCACUGGACAGGUGCAGAUGCUAACAGUAAGGCAGAUGGUGACAUUUAUUCACUGUAACAUUUAUUGACUGUAACGUUUAUUGACGGAUCAUUAAAAGGCUCCUAUCGCCUUGGCACUUCAGUACCUACUGCAUAGGAAACAGACAGAGUCAACAAAUUGUACUGUAGGGCUAAAAAUAAAAGCUCCAUCAACUCA